rnacentral:rRNA from 1 species
GACGAACGCUGGCGGCGUGCCUAAUACAUGCAAGUCGAGCGGGCUUAUUCGAGUAGCUUGCUAUUUGGAUAAGUCAGCGGCGGACGGGUGAGUAACGCGUGGGAAUCUGCCUCUUACUGGGGGAUAACAGUGGGAAACUACUGCUAAUACCGCAUAAGAUCUUCGGAUGAAAGGUGCAACUGCACCGGUAAGAGAUGAGCCCGCGUCCCAUUAGCUAGUUGGUGAGGUAAAGGCUCACCAAGGCGACGAUGGGUAGCCGGCCUGAGAGGGUGAACGGCCACACUGGGACUGAGACACGGCCCAGACUCCUACGGGAGGCAGCAGUAGGGAAUCUUCCGCAAUGGGCGCAAGCCUGACGGAGCGACGCCGCGUGAGUGAUGAAGGCCUUCGGGUCGUAAAGCUCUGUUCUUGAGGACGAAUAAGCCAGGGAGUGGAAAGCCCUGGUGAUGACUGUACUCAAGGAGAAAGCUCCGGCUAACUACGUG